rnacentral:rRNA from 1 species
CCCUUAGAUGUUAUGGGCCGCACGCGUGCUACACUGAGUGGAUCAGCGGGUCAGGUUGCGCGAAAGUGUUUCCUAAUCUUGAAAUCCGCUCGUGAUGGGGAUUGACGGUUGCAAUUUUCCGUCAUGAACGAGGAAUACCUUGUAAGCGCGGGUCAUCAUCCCGCGCUGAAUACGUCCCUGCCCUUUGUACACACCGCCCGUCGCUCCUACCGAUUGAGUGGUCCGGUGAGGCUUUGGGAUCUGAGCGGAAAGAGCGUUUCGCUGUUUCUGCUCGGAAAACUCAGUCGAACCUUAUCAUUUAGAGGAAGGAGAAGUCGUAACA